rnacentral:lncRNA from 1 species
CCCUAAGAAGACCAUGGGAACCUCUCAAAACUGAGGUCUUGAUUUCUUUUCUUUUCACGUACAAGAUGGUACUCACUCACAGCCUUGUGUUCCAAAACGGCAAAGCUGGUAAUGACUUUUUCAGACAGAAACUGACAGAGUAGAGCCUUUUGUUUUCCUGCAUUCUUAACAAGCCUGAUGAGUCUGUGCUGUGUACUGUGAACAUUUGGGAAAGCCCAGGAAACACAGUCAGAGAGAAAUUGCCAGUUGGACUGACAGCGCUGCCCACCUGCUGCAUCCAAGAAGCAACAACUGAAGUUUGCUUAGCUGUUCUCACCACAAAACAAAGCAAAGCGGAAAAAGAGUAACUAGGUUAGGUGAAAGACGUGUUAACUAGCUGGACUGGAGUAAUCAUUUCUUAAAAGCUAGGUAUGUCAA